rnacentral:rRNA from 1 species
AGGUGAAAUUUUAAAUUGUUAUAAGGUCAUUCUUAUUUUUAUAGUCUUUAAAUUAAAAAAAUUAAGAUAUAAACUAGGAUUAGAUACCCUAUUAUACUUUUUAGUUUAAGAAAUGCCUAGGUAGUAACAGAUAUGAGCUUGAAAUCUAAAGAAUUUGGCGGUACUUUAAUCCAAUUAGAGGAACCUGUUGUAUAAACGACAAUCCACGAAGAAUCUUACUUUAAUUUAAAGUUUGUAUACCGCCAUUAUUAGAUGAUUUUAAGAAAAAAGACUCAUAAAAAAUAAAUUUAAUAUAUUAGGUCAAGGCGCAGCUAUAUUAAAGAAAUUAAUGGGUUACAUUUAAAUAGUUAAAACGAAUAGAUAAUUGAAAAUUAAAUUGAAGGUGGAUUUAAUUGUAAUUUUGUUUUAAUAAGGCAAAAUGAUAAUGGCACUAUAGUAUGUA